GAGCCCAGAGCCUGAAUCAGCAUGUGUGUUAGUGGAAGCGUCUGGAAAGGCGCGCGAUACAGGGUGACAGCCCCGUACACAAAAGCGCAUGUGCUGUGAGCUCGAUGAGUAGGGCGGGACACGUGGUAUCCUGUCUGAAUAUGGGGGGACCAUCCUCCAAGGCUAAAUACUCCUGACUGACCGAUAGUGAACCAGUACCGUGAGGGAAAGGCGAAAAGAACCCCGGCGAGGGGAGUGAAAAAGAACCUGAAACCGUGUACGUACAAGCAGUGGGAGCACAGGUUUACCUGUGUGACUGCGUACCUUUUGUAUAAUGGGUCAGCGACUUAUAUUCUGUAGCAAGGUUAACCGAAUAGGGGAGCCGGAGGGAAACCGAGUCUUAAUUGGGCGUUAAGUUGCAGGGUAUAGACCCGAAACCCGGUGAUCUAGCCAUGGGCAGGUUGAAGGUUGGGUAACACUAACUGGAGGACCGAACCGACUAAUGUUGAAAAAUUAGCGGAUGACCUGUGGCUGGGGGUGAAAGGCCAAUCAAACCGGGAGAUAGCUGGUUCUCCCCGAAAGCUAUUUAGGUAGCGCCUCGUGAAUUCAUCUCCGGGGGUAGAGCACUGUUUCGGCUAGGGGGCCAUCCCGGCUUACCAACCCGAUGCAAACUGCGAAUACCGGAGAAUGUUAUCACGGGAGACACACGGCGGGUGCUAACGUCCGUCGUGAAGAGGGAAACAACCCAGACCGCCAGCUAAGGUCCCAAAGUCAUGGUUAAGUGGGAAACGAUGUGGGAAGGCCCAGACAGCCAGGAUGUUGGCUUAGAAGCAGCCAUCAUUUAAAGAAAGCGUAAUAGCUCACUGGUCGAGUCGGCCUGCGCGGAAGAUGUAACGGGGCUAAACCAUGCACCGAAGCUGCGGCAGCGACACUGUGUGUUGUUGGGUA
rnacentral:rRNA from 1 species